CUACGGGUUGCACCAGUGGGGAAUAUUGCACAAUGGGCGCAAGCCUGAUGCAGCCAUGCCGCGUGUAUGAAGAAGGCCUUCGGGUUGUAAAGUACUUUCAGCGGGGAGGAAGGGAGUAAAGUUAAUACCUUUGCUCAUUGGCGUUACCCGCAGAAGAAGCACCGGCUAACUCCGUGCCAGCAGCCGCGGUAAUACGGAGGGUGCAAGCGUUAAUCGGAAUUACUGGGCGUAAAGCGCACGCAGGCGGUUUGUUAAGUCAGAUGUGAAAUCCCCGGGCUCAACCUGGGAACUGCAUCUGAUACUGGCAAGCUUGAGUGUCGUAGAGGGGGGUAGAAUGCCAGGUGUAGCGGUGAAAUGCGUAGAGAUCUGGAGGAAUACCGGUGGCGAAGGCGGCCCCCUGGACGAAGACUGACGCUCAGGUGCGAAAGCGUGGGGAGCAAACAGGAUUAGAUACCCUCGUAGUC
rnacentral:rRNA from 1 species